UUAGAUGUGAAAGCACAACCAAGAUGCACACUGACAAGCUGUGCAUACUGUGGUGACUGGGCUGAGGUAAGAAGACAACUUUCCACAUUCAUUUCUUUCUGCCAUCAUGUGCAUCCCAGGAAUUUAAGGGUUGCUCAAAAACAAGGAAAUCAUGCCUGGUACUGGAAACCUACCAAAAUAUCGAUGUCUACUGAAGCUAUCGAACUUGGAAGGGAAUCUAUAACCACCAAUUUGCUAAGUCACCCUAACUCCCAUCUACAUUCUUUAGGAUCUAUCCUUGUACCCACCAUUCACAGUUGUUGGUUUCAAAUCCAGGAUCAAUUUCAAGGCAGGCCAAGAAAGCCAAGAACAUUCUGAGCAAAGGGAUUGUUAAAGGAAAGUGAAGCUAACAAGGACAACAUUUUGCCUUAAAUUGUGAAGUUCUAUCUAGUUCAACGCAUUUUCUACCUCAGACUUUGCUUGACAACACUGAUUGUCAAUUUGAACAGAGAAUAAAAAGCGGCUUCUUUGCACAGCCUGGAAGGAGGGGACUGGA